UGAGUAAGCCGGGCAGCCGCGGGAGAUGUGCCGAAAGGCCGCUAACGAGGAAAGUCCGGGCUCCGCAGGGCAAGGAUAACGGGUAACGCCCGCCGAAGGCGACUUCAGGACAAGUGCAACAGAGAUAUACCGCCUUGCAGAGGACAGGGGCAGAGGAGCCGGACCGCAGGUUUUUGCGCUCAGUUCCCCGAUUCCUGUUCUCUGUCCAGGGCAAGGGUGGAAAGGCGAGGUAAGAGCUCACCCGGCGGCUGGAGACAGACCGCCGCUGUAAACUCUAUCCGGAGCAACACCGCGGGAGAGCAAAAGGCCGGCCCGGCCGCUCUCAGGAGGUGGCUUGAGCCCAUUGGCAACGAUGGGCCUAGAUAGAUGGCUGUCCAAGACAGAAUCCGGCUUACAGGCUUACUCACGAG
rnacentral:RNase_P_RNA from 1 species